rnacentral:sRNA from 1 species
AACCCCUUAAAAUCUCUCUUCGUUUGUCGAGAGAAUUAGAGGGGAAGGGGUGACCUCCCGGAAAGUCCUCGUGUUGGCUCCCUCUUUUUAACCACUCAUAGGUGGGCCAGUGGUAGGAAGGAUUUCGGGCUGAGGGUGAAAUUCCCAAUAAUCCCGGGUUCGAAUCCCCACGGCUGCAAACACCUUAAGUGGCCACCGCAGACAAUUUAAAAUCGGGUUAUGCGGCCUCCAGGAACUACUCUUGCCGCCUUCGGGACGUAUGCAGUGGGCUAGUCUGGGUCCAUUGGGCUUGGGAUACCUGGGUUAUCCAAAAAAAAA